GCAGAGACGUCAACAGUGCGGAAGAGGCAGCACGGGAGAUUCGACAAGAGACGGAUGCAGACAGCAAACUGUUAGUUGUCAAAGAACUGGAUCUCGCCUCAAUUACAUCUAUACGCACUUUCUGCCAGGGCAUAAUGAAGCCUUGACACACAUGCGCAGUAGUUGUUAUCCGAUGACGUACCUGGACGAACCACCGUCCACCACCAGCUGGCGUUAAAGAAAAUGACUGUUCAUUCACACGGAAGAAAUGACGGGAGACACAGGCCAAGCAUCAACGGAUGACAUCUUUGACAAGAAAUGCCCGAAACUUUGGCAGUGUGGCUGUUAUUGGAAACAGUGGCAUCUGCGAGCACACGCUCAGUGCAAGACUUUACAAUCCCAGACCUGUGCGAGGGCAAACCUCACGAAAACAACAAACUGUAUCGCAAAAUACAUUUACCAGUAAGCACGGUUGAAAACAAGAGAUUAAAGGGGACACUUAACUUAAAGGGGACAUAUUUUCCAAACAAACUUUUUCUAGUUGGGAUGUAAUAUUGUCUCUAUGGUGCCUCAGUAAACGUGAAAUAUUAAUUGAAAUCAUCCACACAUUCCUGAGUUCCAGGCGUUUUUCUGCAGAGAAGCCUGAAAUCAGGUCAUUCGAAUUUCUCAAGGUUAUCAACGUCACUAGCGAAGCUCUCCGCCUACCUCUCUGCUCCUGAGCCAGUGCUGUCAACAUAACAAACACGUGUUCUCUCACAAGUGGGUCUUCCACACGGAGGCAACCAAUCAGAAGGAAGGGGGCGAUCUUAGCCAAAUGUGGACAAAGCGGAUACAAAACUGGGUCAAACAGAUGUAGCUUUCAGAGGGGCCUUUUCUGUACAUGUAUGACAAAACCAAGUUUGUUUUUUUUAAAUGAAAUUGACACUUUUAUACAAGUCCAUGUUAGAGAGAAACUCUAUGGAGGUCUAAAUAGUCAUAAUACGGGACCUUUGAAGUAAUGGACCCUCAUUACCAAUUCCCUGGACGUAAAUUAGAAUUGUAAAACUUGAAAGCUUUUGCAUGGUCAAAUUAUACAUGUUUAUAAGGUGAUACGUUUCAUUUGUCUGACACAGUUGUGUAAUGUUCCAUGUCAUGUUCAACUUUUGACCUGAAAAAUUUUAGGUUUAAGAGUAACAGGGAAUAUUUAAGAUUUGAAAUAAAAAAAAUACACUUGUUUUUUAUGGUAAUAUUGAUAUCGACAGAUUUUUAAAAAUGAUUUUUUUUCCCCCCAUAUUGCCCAGCCGUGAAAUAAAUCGUAACGUCCUAAUUUUUUAACCGACUUUAAUGAGGGUGACCUUUUUUCUCCAUAAAAAAAUUGCUAUUCAUACAGAACAGUUUAAAAAAAAUUAGCCCAAAAAAAUCUGGACUAUGAAAGGUUAUUCCCAGUUCACUUGUUGUGAUUGCGACUGCAAGAUGGCGCCUACCAGUGUGGUCGCCUCGGUAACGCGCUCUCUAGUAUUGUCUUUGUUUUUGUGUUUUUCGUCCGUCUUUGGAGACCUUACACGACUCACUUACACAAGGGGAGACCUGCUAACCAUCAAGGAGUCUACUCCAGAUUUUCUGUCACCAACUUUCGAAUAU